rnacentral:rRNA from 1 species
AUGCUCGACGUGGACCCCGCCACCGAGGAUCCUGCCCUCCUCGACGCCAUCAGGAAGAAAAACAGCGCUGCUCUGAUCUCCAUGCUUGAUCCCCGUGAUGAGCUCUCAGCGGAAGACAGUACAAAUGCAGCUGGUGCUGUUUGGUAUCUCGUCAUAAAUGGCAACCACAUAACUCGCAAUCUGAAUCUGCUGACGGACCUCACGCCUGUGUGUGACCGUUGGGUCCGUAAUCUCUCUGGGACAGGCCCCCCGAUGCAAGUCUGCGCUCGGGGAUCGGUGAACUGUAACAGGAUCAAGCUUGAUGACGUAUGGUAUGUUCCUGGGGUCACCGAUAAUAUGAUGGCGGUUGCCCAUCUUACCCGUACCAAUAAAGAACUUAAAGUCAGAGUGGAUAGCGAUGGCUGUUCUGUUGUGCGGCGUGAUGGUGCUGUAGUUGGCAGAGGGCAUUCCAAGAACGAUCUGUAUGAGCUCGACUUUCUUGACGCCAUUAGUGGAUCUUCUUGGUACAUCGUCUCGAAUGCUGCUGAACACAUGACCGGCAACCUGCACCUCCUGACGAACUUCACUCCCACGUGUCUGGGCCGCUCAGUCCGGACACACACGGGUGCGAUGCUGCAGGUGCGUGGCAAGGGGUCCCUGAGCUCCACCCAGUUCGCCGUCCCUGGAGUCAGCUACGUCCCAGGGCUCACAGAGAACAUCAUCUCGGUGACCCAGCUCACCGACAGCGGUUUCACCGUUGCGUUUGGGCCCCAUGGCUGCACUGUCAUGAGGAACCGCGACGGGGCUGAGGUUGGCUACGCGUUCAAUGCGGGCAGCCAGCUGUACCGGCUCAACCACCUCAGGGUCGCUGCCAGCAAGUAG